AUUGAACGCUGGCGGCAGGCCUAACACAUGCAAGUCGAGCGGAUGAAGGGAGCUUGCUCCUGGAUUCAGCGGCGGACUGGUGAGUAAUGCCUAGGAAUCUGCCUGGUAGUGGGGGAUAACGUCCGGAAACGGGCGCUAAUACCGCAUACGUCCUGAGGGAGAAAGUGUGGGAUCUUCUGACCUCACGCUAUCAGAUGAGCCUAGGUCGGAUUAGCUAGUUGGUGGGGUAAAGGCCUACCAAGGCGACGAUCCGUAACUGGUAUGAGAGGAUGAUCAGUCACAUUGGAAGUGAGAAACGGUCCAGACUCCUACGGGAGGCAGCAGUGGGGAAUAUUGGACAAGGCGCGAAAGCCUAAUCCAGCCAUGCGGCGUGUGUGAAGAAGGUCUUCGGAUUGUAAAGCACUUUAAGUUGGGAGGAAGGGCAGUAAGUUAAUACCUUGCUGUUUUGACGUUACCAACAGAAUAAGCACCGGCUAACUUCGUG
rnacentral:rRNA from 1 species